GUAGGUGGCAAGCGUUGUCCGGAAUUAUUGGGCGUAAAGCGCGCGCAGGCGGUUCUUUAAGUCUGAUGUGAAAGCCCACGGGCUCAACCGUGGAGGGCCAUUGGAAACUGGAGAACUUGAGUACAGAAGAGGAAAGCGGAAUUCCACGUGUAGCGGUGAAAUGCGUAGAGAUGUGGAGGAACACCAGUGGCGAAGGCGGCUUUCUGGUCUGUAACUGACGCUGAGGCGCGAAAGCGUGGGGAGCAAACAGGAUUAGAUACCCUGGUAGUCCACGCCGUAAACGAUGAGUGCUAAGUGUUAGGGGGUUUCCGCCCCUUAGUGCUGCAGCUAACGCAUUAAGCACUCCGCCUGGGGAGUACGGCCGCAAGGCUG
rnacentral:rRNA from 1 species